CAGAAGUGCAGAAGUGUGCGUUGGUCGAAGGGAGAUAGAAUAAGGCCUCCAAGGUUUUUAUCUGUUGAAUUAUUCAGGAAAUUUUAAGACAAAGUCAACUUCAACAGAGCAGGACACGCAAUGGAGUGACCAUUAAAGUUUCAGUGCUGCUUUCUGUGAUAAGACAGUCAUCUGAUAUAAAAGCUAUGAGGAAAUUGACAUAUGUAAACAUAUGCCACGGGGCAGCUCUGGUAAAGGACAUUUUUUAAGAUGCCCCCUACGUUAUGUGCACAAUUACAAGGUGAAAUCCAGUCAUUUCAAUAGGAAUCAACGCAAUCUGGAAUUCCGUGUUGUGGUGAAAUUUCCCCAUUUCCUAAGCUGGACACACGGAUUCACCACACUGAUCAACAGAAAGCUGCUUGGUUUGAAAGUGACUUCUCUGUGUGACCUGUGCUUCAUACAUCGCUACACUAUAUUAGCUGAAUUUUGGCUAAUGUGACUGCAACUUCUCACAGGAUCCAUGGGCUUGGGAGUUAGCUUGAUAUAUAUACGGUAAUGCAAUGAAGAUUUAAAGCAAGUUAACUUGAAAAGUUUGGACAAGAUAAACCAAAUGUUGAAAAAUCAUUCUGUUGAUGAAAAAAAAAACACAUUAAACCAGCUUUUUAGCAGGUCUAGUUUAAGUUGGUCUAGCUGGUCUUCCAGUGUGGUCAAGAUGAUAUUCAGCUGGUUUAGCUGGUCCUCACCAGUCAAUGAUCAGCAAACCAGGUGAUUUAAUUUUGUUUUCAGAAGGGUCAAUAAACCUUUAAAGGUGAUGACUUUUUCCUCACAGGUUAAAGAAAUAUGACAAAAUGUGUAAAAAAAAUAAAAAAAUAAAAUAAAAAUAAUAUAUAUAUAUAUAUAUAUGAUUCAUGGAUCUUUUCAUUCAACAAGCUUUCAUUUGAGUGCAUUCAAACAGAAAAACAUCUGAAAAAUCUUGCUUUAAGUCAGGUUCACACUUUACGAUUUUGCCAUCUGAGACAAAUUUCGGGAUCAUACAAUUUCUGUAGCACAAAAUGUGGUUUUUGCAUGAAGUGUAUUCACCAUCAGAUGAUUUCUUCGCUUCACAACGAUUCUCAGCCUCCAAUGAAGUUCUGGCGGUGAAAUUUUGUUGCAGCUGUGCGGUGACCACUCGUAUAUGCUGUCAACAGCACCACUGGGACCAAAAUCCUGGAUGUGUAUCGUACAGUCUGACUGCUAACAUCACACAGUGUGCCAUGACUCUUUUACCCAAGAUCUCAUUGGGAUCAUGUACAACAAUUGUAGAGGACUAGAACAAUCGUACUGUAUGUGCCUGGCUUAAGCUUAAACUGUCAGACCUUCACUACAGACAGCUUCUUACGCCCCUGUAUUCACCCCAAUAAAAUAGCCGAAUGUGGUAAACCCCUAGGAAAAUGUCAUCCUCAAAAAAAAAAAUGUUUCUUUCCGAUCAGAUGCCUUGAACAGAUACUACAUGAAAGAUUGAGAUCUGAGGUUAUUUCCUGUAAAAAUAUUGCAAAUGCCAAGAGUGUAGAGGCCGUAAAACCACUUAAAAAUAUACUCACAAAAUACCACAGGGAUAAAGGAAAUGUAUCAGUCUCCUGGUUUUCGUUUCAGUCUUUGAAGCAGGAAGUCUUGUUGUCUUUUCUCUGCAAGGAGCUCUUGAAUUCUUUUAUUAUGCGUUUUCUCACGGAACGACACUCGCUUUCUGGGGACAAAGUGGUUGAGUGCGACUUCGUUUGGACUGGCAAUCCUGUAGGACAUGUCGAUGGAGUUAUUCUCCUUCUUGUCUUCUGACCGAUGGAGACUGAUUAUGGCAGGAGGGUUUGUUGCAGUAACAUUAGGCUGUAGCAUUGUCACAAACGUUGUCCCGAUGUUUUUAUUCUCAAGUGUGCUUGUAUAUUGUGGAGUGGUUGGCCAAGGCUCUACAAACUCUGAUGAUUCAGAUUCUGAGAAGUGUUCGGUUGAGAUAUCGCUCCAGGUUUCGUCCUCGUAGAAGGGGGUGCUGGUUUCCUCUUCGUAGUCGAGUGUGCUGGGAUGCUUAGUGUGCACAGUGACAGAACCAAUGGUGAAAGGGACUGUGGUUCCUGGUUUUAGGGUUAUUGGGUUCACAGUGGAUGUGUAGCCCCAAGAUGUGGGCUCAGUGCUGAUGUUUCUCGAUCUGCUGAAUGAUGCCGUGAUUGUUGUGCCAGGCUUCUGUGAAGUUCUGUACAGCUGUGUUGUGAGAACAGGAGCCGUUGCGGUGGGAGUUAUGGGAGGGGCGACAAUGGUGUACAUCCAGGGUCUCGUCAGGUUGAAUUCAGUGGUGUAGUUGCCCUCGUUGCAGGACUUGCAGCACAUCUGCCUGUAGCCCGGAUUGGAGCAGUACGUACUGAGAACCUCCAUCCGACAGAACACAGACUUGUCUCCUUUACAGCGGGAUCCUGAAAAAUAAACCAACAGGAUGCUCAGUGUGGAGUUAGUGAUGUCAGUACAACAAUGGGAAAUUAUAAAAAGAAAAGAAAAAAAUACAAUAAUAGGAGAUUCGAAUAAAUAAAUAAAAAUAUAUAUGAAAUACGAAAAUGAAAGAAGCAUGCAGCAGCGUGACCCUGGCA
ensembl:lncRNA